rnacentral:rRNA from 1 species
UACGAAGGGGGCAAGCGUUGUCCGGAUUUAUUGGGCGUAAAGAGCGUGUAGGCGGCCGCACAGGUCCGUUGUGAAAACUGGAGGCUUAACCUUCAGACGUCGAUGGAAACCGUGCGGCUAGAGUCCGGAAGAGGAGAAUGGAAUUCCUGGUGUAGCGGUGAAAUGCGCAGAUAUCAGGAAGAACACCCGUGGCUAAGGCGGUUCUCUAGUACGGUACUGACGCUGAGACGCGAAAGCGUGGGGAGCGAACAGG